rnacentral:lncRNA from 1 species
AACGGAUGAAUUUUGGCAAAAUAUGAUACGAGUCUUGAAAGGAAAGGAGUAUGUAUUUCCUGCAAUCAGUAGUUGGCGCAGGGCAGGGCAGGGCGGGCAAUUGGUGAGGAAUAGCAGGUUGGUAUAUUUCCCGCUGCUAUUCUCCUCUCCAAGGAAUAGUAGUUCCAAAGCAGUUGGACCUUAAACCUGCCAAAUAGUUUCACCUUAUCUCAAGCAGCAGGGACGGACAGGAAGCUCUAAUCCGGAUCCGGAUCCGGUUAGCAUGAAGUUAUUUUUUUGAAUAUAUAUACACAUACAAUAUCGCCUGCGUGUCAGUAUUCUAUUCGUCAAUUGACCAACUUACUCUAAAAUAAACUUCAUACUAACCACUUCCAUCCGUUCGAGCUGAUGAGCAGUGCGGCCCCCAACAAAAAUCCAUAAUAUCCCCAACCACCAUAAAAGCCCUUUCCAGUUUGGUCUUGGUGAACCUGCAGCACAUAAAAUCUGUGAGAGGCCUUAUAAGAUAAGGUGGCUAUAGAUAAACAGGAAAACAAAACACUAGUAUCUGUUCUGUAGUUGGUGAUUUACAAAGUAUAGAUUGUCAAUUCAAUCAUAAAGUAGACAUGGUGGGACCCACACGCCUUUCUUUUUCUUUCUCACUUGCAAAAACGCAUGCACAAUUAGUUAGAGAGGGGAAAGAAAGACCUUCAUUUUCACCAAGGUAAAGAAGCUAGCUGGACACGGUUGCACAAUUUUCUCAGACGUUGGUUUUGUGUGUGGUUCUCUUUUCCUUAUCCCCUUCCUACAGUCCUUUGUAUCUCCAAAAACACUCAUUCAUUCUUCCAUAUAUUGGCAUGCAUUAUCAAUAACUUUAUUCCCUUCUAUUAUUUUUCUAAAUUCCGUAAAAUCAACAACUUCAACAUGCCAGAAGAAGAAAUCGGCCUGCCAGAGGAAUGGCCAGAACCUGACUUACCUUAUACUGACACUGUCCGAGAACUCCAUGCAGCCAUUGAAAAGGAUUGGGAUUCUCUGCGGCGGUCGGCGUGUCAGACAGCGGCCGGAAGAGCAUUGUGGAAGCAUGUGAUCCAUGACCCACUAGCUGGUUUACUCGCGGGAGAGGCGUACCUGAAAAGCCUGUAUGAGAAAAUAGAAAAGGACAGGUUAAACAAUGCCAGAGAAGUCUCUGGUGUCAUUCUUGCUGUUCGAACUCUCUGGUUUGAUACUAAACUUGAAGCUGCUGUUGAUUCGUUUAGUGGAGCAGCACAAGUUGUUCUUCUUGGUGCAGGUUGGUGACUAUUCUUUCUUGCAUUUUUGUACCUAGCAUGUACAUAUUGAACUAAUGCCGCAAGAGGGGAAUAUUCAUUUUUGUCAUCUUUGGAUUCACAGCAGACUAUAACAAAAUUUUGCAUAUCUAUGGUUCAUUUUUGUUUGCUGCUGGUUCCAGUGUAAUUAACUGUAUAAACUGACAGCAGAUCUCGGCAUAAUUCCUUAAGCUGCAUGCCUUUUACACUGCAUAGAUCCUUAGUUUGAUCUCCUAAUCAUACUCCCUCUGUUCCAUUAUAAAACAGGUCUCAUUUGCAAAAUUUACAUACUUUUAAACCCGAGGACAUUAUUAUUUUUAUACUACCAUCAAAAUAAAUGGGAAUUUUAUUUUUUUCAAAAUCAUAAAUUGCAAAUAGGACUUUUUUUGUUUUCGGGACAGAGGGAGUGGUAAUAUGUUGCCAUUACAAAAUGGCUUACUACGGUACUAUAAGCUACAAUCAUGUGUAUUAACAAGGCAUUAUUCUAGUUUGGUAAUUGCCUCCUUUUCCACAAUAUGACCAUGUUGACCUCAGACUGUUACUGCACAAGGUAAACACCAGGACCAGAAUUGAUAAAUAAAUAAAAUUCCUAACAAAAGUGCAUAAAAGAGUAGCACAAAAUUCCUUUUUGAAAGAAAUGAAGUAAUACAUGAACAAUUAAAGUCCAAUAUAUUAACUUUUGGACCAUGGCUCAUCAAAAAGGUUCUUGCAAUAAAUGGCUCUUAUAUUUGACAAUGAAGUGUCUAUGACACAACUACCCCUCCCCCCCCCAAAAAAAACAGUCAGUGAGAUUACAAGGGUAAACAAAAUUUUAAUCAAAAUAAUUUACUUACCUGCAGGAAUGGAUGCAAGGGCAUACCGUUUGAGCUUCUUGAAAGAAAGUGAUGUUUAUGAGGUAGACUUUGCUGAGGUCUUAC